GAGUAUAGAAGGUUGGUGAAACGCGCUGGAUUAUGUGAGAAGACUCAGAAGAUUCGGAUAAUUUUGUGAAUGGUACAUGACUAUAUAUAGACUAGGAUCGUGAGAAAGAAAUUGUGUCAAGGCCAUCAGAAAAUUUCUGAAAGGUUCCAUUGACCCAUCUACAAUUUCAACAAUAACAUGUGAAGCUAAAGUAUUGGAAUUAAGUGGUGCCCUUAUGUCCCAGUGUCUCAAUAACAAAGACUCAACAGAAGGUUUUAAAAGGAAAAGGCAAUUAAUUUUAAAGGAUUUUGUGUACUCAAUAUUAGGGGUAUAUUGUGGAGCCGGGAGGUUCUGUCCACACACUCCAUGACAGAAAAGAUCUCCAAUGCAUUAAAGGAGAAGGAUGCCAAGCCACAACUUGACAAGGAAAAAGUCAAUGGCAUAUGUGAGUAUACUUCAAAAAGAUAUGGUUGUCCUGCAUCUGAAGUGUGACAAGUAAUGCUAAGAAAAUGCUAAAAAGAAGUCCUGCGAAAAAUAAUGAACUGAGCUACUGGUCAGACAAACACUUUAAAAAUAUCCAACAUAUAGAAUA